rnacentral:rRNA from 1 species
UACAGAGGGUGCAAGCGUUAAUCGGAAUUACUGGGCGUAAAGCGUGCGUAGGUGGUUUGUUAAGUCUGUUGUGAAAGCCCCGGGCUCAACCUGGGAAUGGCAAGGAUCUGGCAAGCUAGAGUGCGGUAGAGGGUAGUGAAUUCCUGGUGUAGCGGUGAAUGCGCAGAUAUCAGGAGGAACACCGGUGGCGAAGGCGGCCAACGUGGACCAGGUACUGACGUGGAGGCGCGAAAGCGUGGGAGC